UACGGAGGGUGCAAGCGUUAUCCGGAUUCACUGGGUUUAAAGGGUGCGUAGGUGGGUCUGUAAGUCAGGGGUGAAAUCUCCGAGCUUAACUUGGAAACUGCCGUUGAUACUAUCUGUCUUGAAUAUUGUGGAGGUGAGCGGAAUAUGUCAUGUAGCGGUGAAAUGCUUAGAUAUGACAUAGAACACCAAUUGCGAAGGCAGCUCGCUACACAUAUAUUGACUCUGAGGCACGAAAGCGUGGGGAUCAAACAGG
rnacentral:rRNA from 1 species